rnacentral:rRNA from 1 species
AGACGGGUGAGUAAUGCGUAGGAAUCUACCUAGUAGUACGGAAUAGCCAUUAGAAAUGGUGGGUAAUACUGUAUAAUCCCCGAGGGGGAAAGAUUUAUCGCUAUUAGAUGAGCCUACGUUAGAUUAGCUAGUUGGUGAGGUAAUGGCUUACAAGGCUAUGAUCUAUAGCUGGUCUGAGAGGACGAUCAACCACACUGGAACUGAGAUACGGUCCAGACUCCUACGGGAGGCAGCAGUGGGGAAUAUUGGACAAUGGGCGAAAGCCUGAUCCAGCUAUGCCGCGUGAGUGAAGAAGGCCU